UCAGGUACGGCACGGAAGUCUGCUCGCCAACGCCAUACACAUUUCAUUGCGGGGGAGUCGCAACGUACGCAGGAGCGCUUCCACGGGGGGAUGGUGCCAACAGCAGGCCAGUCUACAUACAACUGCAAGACCUCAAAUUGAACAUGCUGGAAUCCGGCCAACCCUCAAGAGUCGAUAGUUGGCCGCUAGACGAGGGGCCCCUGUCCAGCCACCUGCGGUGGUGGUUAAAGACCCUCUCGCCCACCGGCCGCGAUAAGUUCAGCGCGCGCCUCCUCUUCUGGCUACGGACCUCCAAGAUUGCAAUGACGACAAGCGUGGUAACGCUCCUAGUAGGCAUAAGUGAUGUGGCCGUGUCCCGCUCCAUGCACGAGGCGAGCGUGCCGGUCACGCUCAGCCUCGGUGUGUACUCCAGCGUGUUUGCACAUGUGCUCUUCGUGAAGCGGCUGCCUGCCCUCCUUCAGACGGUGGCCCUCCUUCUCGCCACAACGGCCGGCGUGGAGCGGCACCUUGACUCGGCAUCCCAGAAACGGAUGCGGCGGACCGCAAGAAGGGGCAGCUUAUUCUGUCGCCAGCUAGUGCUGUUCAGUGUGUGCCUCAUGCUGCAGUUCCCAGCUGUGUACGCGCUUACCAACGACCCGCAGUGGUCCCUCCGCUGGAUUUACCGGCUGCACGCCGACAGCACGGACAACUCGCUCUACUGGUUGCACUGGGCUGCUUUCAUGGAGCAGGCGUUUGGGCUCGUGUGCAGUUUCACGGCUUUCUACACCAUGCUGCCACUCGUCAUAGUCAUCUACUCGACCUGUGCUGACCUGCACGCGGCUCUUGCUCACCGUAUGCAGACAGCUGCCUGCUGCCCCCACGAUGCGGCACUCCAAAGCGGGGUGCUUCGAGCAUGCAUCGUGGCGGACAGUGCGCUGGCCGACCUUAUGCCCCACCUUCUGGUUGUCAGCAUCAUCAUGCCGCUCUUCAGCACGGCUGAGCUCAUAGCUUCCGGGCUUAAGUUGGGCGCUUACUCCUUGGGCACGGCCGCCCCCAUCCUGAUCGUGUUCGUGCCGCUGUGUGAGGUCGGCGAUCGCCUGAGUCGGGCAAGGCGCGGCGUGGCGGAGAGCGCGGCUGAGGGUCCCUGGGUGGAGGAGAGGCCCAAGCAGCGCCAGCUGCGGCUGGCCGUGAUGCAGAUGGUGGCGUUUCUUUUGUGAAAACAGGCUGCCAUGGGAGAAGGCGCAUUUCUUCGAGGGAGUGGAAUUGGACCUCUGGACCGAGCUACUUGCGGUAACGCUCUUAGGUCAUGGUUUAGCUUUCUCCAGGUUAUACUCAACGUACAACGGAAAGCAGGUGUCCACUAACAACAGUUGGCUUGCGCGACGCUGAACUCCGACAGAAACAAGAAAGAAAAGACCAAAUAAAGUUUCUAGCUAUCGCAGCAA